AACUUGCCUUACAGACUGGGACAACAUUUGGAAACGAAUGCUAAUACCGGAUAUUAUGAUUGGGUCGCAUGAUCUGGUUAUGAAAGCUAUAUGCGCUGUGAGAGAGCUUUGCGUCCCAUUAGUUAGUUGGUGAGGUAACGGCUCACCAAGACGAUGAUGGGUAGCCGGCCUGAGAGGGUGAACGGCCACAAGGGGACUGAGACACGGCCCUUACUCCUACGGGAGGCAGCAGUGGGGAAUAUUGGACAAUGGACCAAAAGUCUGAUCCAGCAAUUCUGUGUGCACGAUGAAGUUUUUCGGAAUGUAAAGUGCUUUCAGUUGGGAAGAAGUCAGUGACGGUACCAACAGAAGAAGCGACGGCUAAAUACGUGCCAGCAGCCGCGGUAAUACGUAUGUCGCAAGCGUUAUCCGGAUUUAUUGGGCGUAAAGCGCGUCUAGGCGGCUUAGUAAGUCUGAUGUGAAAAUGCGGGGCUCAACCCCGUAUUGCGUUGGAAACUGCUAAACUAGAGUACUGGAGAGGUAGGCGGAACUACAAGUGUAGAGGUGAAAUUCGUAGAUAUUUGUAGGAAUGCCGAUGGGGAAGCCAGCCUACUGGACAGAUACUGACGCUAAAGCGCGAAAGCGUGGGUAGCAAACAGGAUUAGAUACCCUGGUAGUCCACGCCCUAAACGAUGUCAACUAGCUGUUGGGGCCGU
rnacentral:rRNA from 1 species